rnacentral:rRNA from 1 species
ACAUGCCUACAACAUAUCUCUAAUGCACUGGAUCCCAUUAUAACUCCACAGUUAAGCAUGCUUAGGUUAGAGUUGUACUGGGAUGGGUGACCGCUCGGGAAGUCCUAGUGUUUUACAUGCC